GACAGAGGGAGCCCGACUCCCGUGCCUCCGGCAUGAGGAAAGUCCCCCCACCGGCCGGACGGGCGACCGGGCACACGCCCGGAGUCGGAGACGGCUGGCUCUGGAACAGCAACGACACCCCCCACCUCGACCGAUGAUCCGCGUU
rnacentral:RNase_P_RNA from 1 species